rnacentral:rRNA from 1 species
GACGAACCGAGCGAACGUUGUUCGGAAUCACUGGGCUUAAAGGGCGCGUAGGCGGACUGCCGCGUCCGGGGUGAAAUCCUCCGGCUCAACCGGAGAACGGCCUCGGAUACGGGCGGUCUCGAGGCGGGUAGGGGCGUGCGGAACUGUGGGUGGAGCGGUGAAAUGCGUUGAGAUCCACAGGAACUCCGGUGGCGAAGGCGGCACGCUGGACCCGAUCUGACGCUGAGGCGCGAAAGCCAGGGGAGCGAACGGG